GAUGAACGCUGGCUACAGGCUUAACACAUGCAAGUCGAGGGGAAACGACGGGGAAGCUUGCUUCCCCGGGCGUCGACCGGCGCACGGGUGAGUAACGCGUAUCCAACCUGCCUCUGACUGAGGGAUAACCCGUCGAAAGUCGGCCUAAUACCUCAUGGCAUCGUCUGCGGGCAUCCAACGACGAUUAAAGAUUUCAUCGGUCAGGGAUGGGGAUGCGUCUGAUUAGCUUGUUGGCGGGGUAACGGCCCACCAAGGCGACGAUCAGUAGGGGUUCUGAGAGGAAGGUCCCCCACAUUGGAACUGAGACACGGCCCAAACUCCUACGGGAGGCAGCAGUAGGGAAUCUUCCACAAUGGACGCAAGUCUGAUGGAGCAACGCCGCGUGAGUGAAGAAGGUUUUCGGAUCGUAAAGCUCUGUUGUUGGUGAAGAAGGAUAGAGGCAGUAACUGGUCUUUAUUUGACGGUAAUCAACCAGAAAGUCACGGCUAACUACGUGCCAGCAGCCGCGGUAAUACGUAGGUGGCAAGCGUUGUCCGGAUUCAUUGGGCGUAAAGCGAGCGCAGGCGGAAUGAUAAGUCUGAUGUGAAAGCCCACGGCUCAACCGUGGAACUGCAUCGGAAACUGUCAUUCUUGAGUGCAGAAGAGGAGAGUGGAACUCCAUGUGUAGCGGUGGAAUGCGUAGAUAUAUGGAAGAACACCAGUGGCGAAGGCGGCUCUCUGGUCUGCAACUGACGCUGAGGCUCGAAAGCAUGGGUAGCGAACAGG
rnacentral:rRNA from 1 species